rnacentral:rRNA from 1 species
UACGUAGGGGGCAAGCGUUGUCCGGAUUCAUUGGGCGUAAAGAGCGUGUAGGCGGCUUGGCAAGUCCGUUGUGAAAACUGGAGGCUUAACCUUCAGACGUCGAUGGAAACUGCCUGGCUAGAGUCCGGAAGGGGAGAGUGGAAUUCCUGGUGUAGCGGUGAAAUGCGCAGAUAUCGGGAGGAACACCUAUGGCGAAGGCAGCUCGCUGGGACGUUACUGACGCUGAGACGCGAAAGCGUGGGGAGCAAACAGG